rnacentral:snoRNA from 1 species
CUGUGGUUGGGGCAUUGCAUGAGUUUUCCAUUAAAUAUCUCCUACACCUCAUAUAGAGUCUCUCCAUUCAAUUGACGAAAGUUUGUGAUUUCAUCACAUAAUUG